rnacentral:miRNA from 1 species
UUAACAGACUUGUUACACGGUUGUCCUAACAAGUCUGAUACAAUCAUGAUCUAACAAGAAUGUUACAAGGUUGAUGACACAAGGUCGUAACAAUACUGUUAUAUCAUGACUGUAUCGGACUAGUUGGAACAACCUUGCAACAAGUCUGAUAA